AAGGUCCCAAAGUCAUGGUUAAGUGGGAAACGAUGUGGGAAGGCCCAGACAGCCAGGAUGUUGGCUUAGAAGCAGCCAUCAUUUAAAGAAAGCGUAAUAGCUCACUGGUCGAGUCGGCCUGCGCGGAAGAUGUAACGGGGCUAAACCAUGCACCGAAGCUGCGGCAGCGACGCUGAUGCGUUGUUGGGUAGGGGAGCGUUCUGUAAGCCUGUGAAGGUGGCCUGUGAGGGUUGCUGGAGGUAUCAGAAGUGCGAAUGCUGACAUAAGUAACGAUAAAGCGGGUGAAAAGCCCGCUCGCCGGAAGACCAAGGGUUCCUGUCCAACGUUAAUCGGGGCAGGGUGAGUCGACCCCUAAGGCGAGGCCGAAAGGCGUAGUCGAUGGGAAACGGGUUAAUAUUCCCGUACUUGGUGUUACUGCGAAGGGGGGACGGAGAAGGCUAUGUUGGCCGGGCGACGGUUGUCCCGGUUUAAGCGUGUAGGUGUGUGUUCCAGGUAAAUCCGGUUCACUUUAACACUGAGGCGUGAUGACGAGGCACUACGGUGCUGAAGCAACAAAUGCCCUGCUUCCAGGAAAAGCCUCUAAGCAUCAGGUAACAUCAAAUCGUACCCCAAACCGACACAGGUGGUCAGGUAGAGAAUACCAAGGCGCUUGAGAGAACUCGGGUGAAGGAACUAGGCAAAAUGGUGCCGUAACUUCGGGAGAAGGCACGCUGACACGUAGGUGAAGUGAUUUACUCA
rnacentral:rRNA from 1 species